CCUCUCAAGCAAGUGGCCCUAACUUCCUCAACCGAUUCUUUUGAUUUAAAUAACUUUUGUUUCAACACAAAUUGCUGAUGUGCCCCCCAACAUCCUCCAUGGCUGCUAAUUUAGCCACUCGCCGCUUCUUCUUUGAAGGGCGCCUGCACAUUGGGGAUUCGCUUUCAAUCCAUGGACUUUCUAUGUAACGGGCGUGUUCUUAUAACUAUUUUCGAAAAUUCAUGUGCUGAAUCUUUUUUCGUUAUACGAGUGCAGUGAAGAUAUUUUGUAAGGAGAUCCUCUCGUUUUUUCAUGGCCAUGACAAUGCAGCAAAAAAGAUAUUGUUUGGAAGGAGACACCAGCAAAAGCUGAAGACACGAAGCAACCGAAAUGGGAAAUUGCACAUCCUUUCAACUGCUUUCAACAACUAAAUGGAGUGAAGGGUAGCGGCAGCAGUACCAAAGGUGGGUGGCAAUUUGAGGGCUUGACGCCCAAAAUUAAGAAGUUUAAGAAGCCAUCUUCCGAAGAUGUUCACAGUAUGUUUUGGUGAUUUCAGCAGCAUGAUACUUCAUUUUGUGUAUUUUGGGCCAGUA